rnacentral:rRNA from 1 species
AGGGCACCACCAGGAGUGGAGCCUGCGGCUUAAUUUGACUCAACACGGGAAAUCUCACCAGGCCCGGACACCGGAAGGAUUGACAGAUUGAGAGCUCUUUCUUGAUUCGGUGGGUGGUGGUGCAUGGCCGUUCUUAGUUGGUGAAGCGAUUUGUCUGGUUAAUUCCGAUAACGAACGAGACUCUGGCCUACUAACUAGACGUUGGAUCCCUUUGUGGGUCCAUCGCAGCUUCUUAGAGGGACGGGCGGCGUUUAGCCGCACGAGAUUGAGCAAUAACAGGUCUGUGAUGCCCUUAGAUGUUCUGGGCUGCACGCGCGCUACACUGAAGGAAUCAGCGUGUGUUCCCUAUCCGAAAGGAUUGGGAAACCCGUUGAACCUCCUUCGUGAUGGGGAUUGGGGAUUGCAAUUAUUCCCCAUGAACGAGGAAUUCCCAGUAGGCGCGAGUCAUAAGCUUGCGUCGAUUACGUCCCUGCCCUUUGUACACACCGCCCGUCGCUACUACCGAUCGAGUGAUUUAGU